CUACGGGGGGCUCCAGUGAGGAAUAUUGCACAAUGGGGGGAACCCUGAUGCAGCAACGCCGCGUGGAGGAUGACGCAUUUCGGUGUGUAUACUCCUUUUAUAUGUCAAGAAAAUGACGGUAGCAUAUGAAUAAGCACCGGCUAACUCCGUGCCAGCAGCCGCGGUAGUACGGAGGGUGCGAGCGUUACUCGGAAUCACUGGGCGUAAAGGACGCGUAGGCGGGUUGGAAAGUCAGGUGUGAAAUCCUACAGCUUAACUGUAGAACUGCACUUGAAACUUCUAAUCUAGAGUAUGGGAGGGGGAGAUGGAAUUAGUGGUGUAGGGGUAAAAUCCGUAGAUAUCACUAGGAAUACCUAAAGCGAAGGCGAUCUCCUGGAACAUUACUGACGCUAAGGCGUGAAAGCGUGGGGAGCAAACAGGAUUAGAUACCCGUGUAGUC
rnacentral:rRNA from 1 species